AUUGAACGCUGGCGGCGGGCCUAACACAUGCAAGUCGAGCGGAUGAAGGGAGCUUGCUCCUGGAUUCAGCGGAGGACGGGUGAGUAAUGCCUAGGAAUCUGCCUGGUAGUGGGGGAUAACGUCCGGAAACGGGCGCUAAUACCGCAUACGUCCUGAGGGAGAAAGUGGGGGAUCUUCGGACCUCACGCUAUCAGAUGAGCCUAGGUCGGAUUAGCAAGUUGGUGGGGUAAAGGCCUACCAAGGCGACGAUCCGUAACUGGUCUGAGAGGAUGAUCAGUCACACGGGAACUGAGACACGGUCCAGACCCCUACGGGAGGAAGCAGUGGGGAAUAUUGGACAAUGGGCGAAAGCCUGAUCCAGCCAUGCCGCGUGUUUGAAGAAGUUCUUCGGACUUUAAAGCCUUUUAAGUUGGGAGGAAGGGCAGUAAGUUAAUACCUUGCUGUUUUGACGUUACCAACAGAAUAAGCACCGGCUAACUUCGUG
rnacentral:rRNA from 1 species